GAUGAACGCUGGCGGCGUGCCUAAUACAUGCAAGUCGAGCGGACGGACGAGAAGCUUGCUUCUCUGAUGUUAGCGGCGGACGGGUGAGUAACACGUGGAUAACCUACCUAUAAGACUGGGAUAACUUCGGGAAACCGGAGCUAAUACCGGAUGAUAUUUUGAACCGCAUGGUUCAAAAGUGAAAGACGGUCUUGCUGUCACUUAUAGAUGGAUCCGCGCUGCAUUAGCUAGUUGGUAAGGUAACGGCUUACCAAGGCAACGAUGCAUAGCCGACCUGGGAGGGUGAUCGGCCACACUGGAACUGAGACACGGUCCAGACUCCUACGGGAGGCAGCAGUAGGGAAUCUUCCGCAAAGGGCGAAAGCCUGACGGAGCAACGCCGCGUGAGUGAUGAAGGUCUUCGGAUCGUAAAACUCUGUUAUUAGGGAAGAACAUAUGUGUAAGUAACUGUGCACAUCUUGACGGUACCUAAUCAGAAAGCCACGGCUAACUACGUG
rnacentral:rRNA from 1 species